rnacentral:rRNA from 1 species
UGGGGAAUAUUGGACAAUGGGCGCAAGCCUGAUCCAGCAAUGCCGCGUGUGUGAAGAAGGCCUUCGGGUUGUAAAGCACUUUUAUCAGGAGCGAAACGCUGUCGGCUAAUACCCGGCGGAACUGACGGUACCUGAGGAAUAAGCACCGGCUAACUUCGUGCCAGCAGCCGCGGUAAUACGAAGGGUGCAAGCGUUAAUCGGAAUUACUGGGCGUAAAGCGUGCGUAGGCGGUUUCUUAAGUCUGCUGUGAAAUCCCCGGGCUCAACCUGGGAAUGGCAGUGGAUACUGGGAGGCUAGAGUGUGUCAGAGGGUGGUGGAAUUCCCGGUGUAGCGGUGAAAUGCGUAGAGAUCGGGAGGAACAUCAGUGGCGAAGGCGGCCACCUGGGACAACACUGACGCUGAGGCACGAAAAGCGUGGGGGAGCAAACAGGAUUAGGAUACCCUGGUAGUCCACGCCCUAAAGCGAUGCGAACUGGAUGUUGGUCUCAACUCGGAGAUCAGUGUCGAAGCUAACGCGUUAAGUUCGCCGCCUGGGGAGUACGGUCGCAAGACUGAAACUCAAAUGAAUUGAC